GUGGGGAAUCUUGCGCAAUGGGCGAAAGCCUGACGCAGCAACGCCGCGUGCGGGAAGAAGGCCCUCGGGUUGUAAACCGCUUUCAGAAGGAACGAAACUGACGGUACUUUCAGAAGAAGGUGCGGCCAACUACGUGCCAGCAGCCGCGGUGACACGUAGGCACCAAGCGUUGUCCGGAUUUAUUGGGCGUAAAGAGCUCGUAGGCGGUUCGGUUAGUCGGGUGUGAAAACUUUGGGCUCAACCCAAAGCGUGCACUCGAUACUGCCGUGACUAGAGUUCGGUAGGGGAGUGGGGAAUUCCUAGUGUAGCGGUGAAAUGCGCAGAUAUUAGGAGGAACACCGGUGGCGAAGGCGCCACUCUGGGCCGAAACUGACGCUGAGGAGCGAAAGCGUGGGUAGCAAACAGGAUUAGAUACCCUAGUAGUCC
rnacentral:rRNA from 1 species